ensembl:lncRNA
GUCUUUCAAAAAUGUAAAAUACAAAUGUCUUAAAUACAUAUUUUAAGAGUUUUUAAAAUAAGAAAUCUUCUUACAUAUUUUUAUAACUACUUUCCUUCUCUCAGCAUGAGACACUGGGAAAUUUCUCUAAAGUAUGAAAAACCUCUUCUCUUCUGCUGCCAUCAAGUCUGAAGUGAUGGAAAGCUUUGCAUUACGAAGAGCAGCGCCAAGUUCUCAGGUUGACAACGGUUUCUACCAAUUAGACCUGAAAAGGAUACAACUGACUUAAAGGUCGUCAACUUUUAAAUGAGAUGUUCUGCAGAACGGACAACAUUGACAUGACAUUAUGGAGACACAUCAUGACGGGAGAGCACUUUGUCACAAUGGUGAUGUGUGAACUUCAGAAGAGUUGGAUCCCAAGUUUGAACACGCUGCCAAGAAUGUGGCUUCCUUUUUAGAGUAUCCAGAUGUCUCAUGUCUGUAGAAAUGGGCUUUUCAAAUUGUUUAUUUGUUGGUUUAUAUCAGGACAAGAAAGAGUACAUUGCCUUCUUGAAUCUAAUUCAAGUUACUUCCAGAGUCUGAGAAACAUGCCAUACCUUCAGACACUUAUUUUUAUCUGCUCUGUAGCUGACUUUUAUUGACUGGAUCAAAGCUAGACUUAUUUUAAAAGAAUAAGCAAAAAUAAAACCAGAAAUCUCCUUAUGUUAAGCCAAGUCAAAGGUUUAAGGUCGUUUCACAAAAACAUUAGGGGAUGAAAUAGAAGAGGGGAUAUCAUCUGAAGCUUUUAUAACCUUGAUGCUUCACCAUAAGCACCAAAGGAAAUCAAACAGAAUCUUCGUGGAUUUUCUCCAUCGUGUGCAUAUGUUGGUUCUGCCUCAGGGAUCUGUAGACAACUGUAUUCGUAUGCAGAUUCCACCAAUGACCAUCAGUAAUGGCAAUGGAAUUUCCAAGGUUGUAAAUAUUUUCUGCUGGAUUUAGGUUAUAUUGGAAUGCUGGACACAAAAUUUCAAUAGUGUUGGUGGACACAGUAACUAGUGUUGAAAGUGGAUACUGGACAGUUACAAAGGGAUCAAGAAUCUAGAAGAUAUUCAGAUAUUUGAAGGUAAUUAGGACAAGGGAGCCAUGUAAUGAUGACUUGGGAAGAUUCCUGUUGCUAUCUUUUCAUUUUCUUUAUGUUCUGUGCUAGGAAUUCUAACCUCUCCCCAGUUUCAAAAGUUAGGAGAGACACCAGUCAAAGCAGAAUUGGCCAGAACCUGGCGUUCUGACAGAGUACCAGACGCUGAUCUGGGGAAGAAACACACCUCUAAAAAGUUUAGACCUCUAGAAAGGCCCAAGAGUAUUUGACUGGAGCCUGUCAAAGCAGGAAGGCACAGUAGUGCUUCAUGAAGGUCUUGCAUUGGGUGUGGAGAAAUGUCUAAGACAGAGAGCAAACAGCAUCUGGUAAGCACAGCAAAGCCAAUGGGAGCCCUAGUCGGGAGCACAAGAGUUAUGAAAAAGCUUGCCAGGCUCCAGGAGAAUUU